AGUUUCAGACUAGAGGCUUCAAUUUUGCAAGCCUGCAGUUAGGUGAGGUGAACCCUAUCUAAACUUAAAAUUCCAACCACACAGUAUCCAGAGUAGCACUUUAAGUGGUAAAUAUGGCUGAGUUAAACCUGUAUGCCUAUUGAAAUACACUGGAAGAAGUCCAUAAAGAAAUUUUGCAAUUACCCUGUGGAAGCUGACAAAAAUCAUCAUCCAGUGAUCAGAUAUUUACUGUCUGGUUUGUUUUCUUUAUUUUCUUUUCUCUGCAGAUGAAUAAUUUACAUGAAUAGCCCAAAACCUAUAAUCCUGUUUGUCCCCUUCAAACAUGAUCUCUUUAAUCCUUUAGAUUUCUUUUUAGGAGGAACAUUAGUGCUUUCUGAUUUUUAAUGCAACUGCUGCUUUGACGAAUGAUUUAAUUGUUUAAACAGUUCAAGAAUGUAAAGACUGCCUCUAAGCUAGGCCUUAUUUAACAGCAAGAACAAAGCUGCUGCAAUAUAUAUUAGAGAAUAAGCUUCAUUGGGGUGAGAUCACAAAUUCCCCUGUCCACCUCAGCGGUCUAGCCAUUUUUUUCUGUGAAACAAAUCCUGCCAUCUAUACUCAAAAUUUAAUCAGGAGAAAAGACACAAUAACAGCACUAAGAGUCUUCUGGCAGAGCCCUUCAUAACCUGAAGCUGUUUUGCUUUCCUGGCAGUAUCAUGCUCCAUUUUGCUUGACAUGAUGAUAAAGCUUUGCAAAAGGCAGCGCUGUCGAUCCCAAGGAAAGCCAACCCACAUCCCUGUCUGCCCACUCUUAGAAGUGUGAUAAGAAGGUUUCACUCAUUGCCUUUACCUCUCUUUUAAGAAGGAUAGCAGCACAAGAGAGUUUCUUGAAAUUAAACCUUAUGCGUUAUCUCUGUGCUUUUAAGUCAUUACUUAAGUGCCCUGCCCAUUUCUUUUCAGGUGACAUUGGCCUCUUCUUCCACAAAACCUCACCCUGUUUUAUCUCCCUUCCCUACCCAUAUUUCUUCUUCUCUGCAUCGAUCUCUUGCCACAGUGACAGUCUUCUCAUUUCUGUUAAUUUAACUUUAAUGGUGUUUAAAUAAAGAAAAUAUCACUGUGUUGGUGUACUGCUGUGCACUGCUUUGGAUAAAAAUACACUUUUUUCUUUCUGCUAUUCAAUGCUUUUUUUAUUUUAGUGCUUAGUGCUGUCAUCUCUCCACUUGCUUCCUCCAACAUGCAUCUCAGCAGAAAGCAGGAAAGGCAGUCAUCCUUUUAGCUCAGGAUGACCAUUCAAAUGCAUAGAAAGAAUGAAAGCUUAGUUUCAUAAUAUGGGAACUAUUUUGUUAUUUUUCUCAGAAUCAGAAGUGCUGAGAAUUGCAGAGCAGGUGCCAUUCUUCUCCCUGACUUGCUGCAAGAUGCAGUUUGUUGGGCUUUUAAGCGACUCUGUGAUUCCACAUGAGUAGUUCAAGAUAAAGGAAGUGAUUCAGUGCCCAAAAGUCCUAUUAUCAAGAAUAUACAACCUGUUAAAUGCCUGCUACUGGAUGAAGGUAGUGAAUUUUUGAAAAAAACUCAAUCAAAAUAAUCCUGCCUAUGUUGUAAUUAAAAGUAUAGGAGAUAAUGUGAGUGGCAUGCAUUGCUUAGGCUAUCAGCUGUAAAACAAACACUAUCUUCUGCUUUAUUGCAUGAUUUAUUUCAUUUUUAUCUGCUUAAAAAAAUACUCAUUAGGGAUGAGCUGCAGGAGAAUGACUUUUGGACAGCUAUGGGGUGAAAUGAGCACACAAUGAAGGGUGACCUUUCAAGGGGGGAUUAUCUAUAAAUAGCAAUGGUUAUCCCUCACAGCCUUCUGACAUAAGCCUGCUGGGAGUAUGAAAAAGGAGACCCUUUCCACCAGUUCCUCCAACAUGAUUUUAGAUUGGCACAUGACAUGUUUUGGCCAUGAAUAGCUGAGGAGAAUUUGCAAAGGGAUCAAGCAAAAAGCCUUAGCAGCUGUCUGGCUGUCGAUAUUCCCCAGGUUUAAAAAUUAGCUCAGAACUCUUUGCCCAUGAACAAUGGCACACACUUUACUAGAAAAGUAUAUUAAGAUUUCAUGUUUAAAAUAUAUAAUUUUGGGAGCUCAUCUAUUAAAAAAAAUUAACUAUAUCAGUUUUAAAAUUAGCCAAGCAGUGUCAGCAGAGUUUAUUCAAACACCAAAGGGCUUUACGAUCCAACUGCAGUUCUUAACUACUGUUUUAACUUCUGCUUUGCACCAUGAAUCCAUGGAUCCAUCAAAUCCUUUAUUUGGAAUGAGGAAGAAUUGAUAUUCCUGGGCAUUUACUAUUUUUAAAGUGAAAGAGAUGAACUUGAAUGUCACAGAGAGAGUGACAGGAAUUAUCCCAGAAUAAGAAGAGAUUAUCUUAACCAGCUCUUUUGGACUCCUGCAUGACCUCAAGUGUAUUCACUCCUACUGCAGCUCGACUGUUGCAAACAAACAUCACUAAAAUAUUUUGAAGGAAGUAUGCAGAUGUUUUGCAAGGAGUGUGAUGCACUGUUCACGGGGAAAACAACCUCAAGGUUUCUGGAACCCUAAUGGUUUAGCUAAAAUGCUUCUUCUGGGAGAGAAUACAGGACUCAUGGAAGAUUGAAGUAAAUUAUUUCUCUGUUCCAGAAUUGCUAAUCUUGCGGCUGAAAUUGCAUAUAAAAGUGGGUAUGUCUCAGUGCUGUUAAACUUCACUUAGUUUGGAAUGCUGGCAAUAAAAGGACAAUUUAAUUUA